rnacentral:rRNA from 1 species
UACGGGAGGCAGCAGUGAGGAAUAUUGGUCAAUGGCCGGGAGUCUGAACCAGCCAAGUAGCGUGCGGGACGACGGCCCUACGGGUUGUAAACUGCUUUUGCGGGAGGAUAAAGUGCGCCACGCGUGGCGCUUUGCAGGUAUCCCGUGAAUAAGGACCGGCUAAUUCCGUGCCAGCAGCCGCGGUAAU